CGGAUUGCAGGCUGCAACUCGCCUGUAUGAAGUCGGAAUUGCUAGUAAUCGCGGAUCAGCAUGCCGCGGUGAAUACGUUCCCGGGCCUUGUACACACCGCCCGUCACACCAUGAGAGUCGGGAACACCCGAAGUCCGUAGUCUAACCGCAAGGAGGGCGCGGCCGAAGGUGGGCUUGAUAAUUGGGGUGAAGUCGUAACAAGGUAUC
rnacentral:rRNA from 1 species